AAGUCGUAACAAGGUUUCCAUUAGUAUAAGUUAAGGAACAUGAUUCUUCUGUUGGUAAACUUAUAGAAGCCUUAGUAUCCUAGUUAUAGGAGGCCACACGACUUAAAAUAAAGUGGCCGUAUACUAGUUGACGUAGUCAGCAACACAACCAGACUGUUUUGGGAACACUCAUAUACCAGAUUUGGUACCAUGAAUGACCCACAGCGAAGACCUCGCAGGCAUUUUAAUUGUCUCGAGGGAGCGUUCACAGACUAAGUGGUUGUGGGUAGAGU
rnacentral:misc_RNA from 1 species